rnacentral:rRNA from 1 species
UACGAAGGGGGCUAGCGUUGCUCGGAAUUACUGGGCGUAAAGGGCGUGUAGGCGGGCUGGAAAGUCAGAUGUGAAAUCCCUGGGCUCAACCCAGGAACUGCAUUUGAAACUCCCUUUCUUGAGUGUCGGAGAGGAAAGCGGAAUUCCUGGUGUAGAGGUGAAAUUCGUAGAUAUCAGGAGGAACACCGGUGGCGAAGGCGGCUUUCUGGACGACAACUGACGCUGAGACGCGAAAGCGUGGGGAGCAAACAGG